ACUGACACGCUGUCCUUUCCCUAUUAACACUAAAGGACACUAUAAAGAGACCCUUUCGAUUUAAGGCUGUUUUGCUUGUCCAGCCUAUUCUUUUUACUGG
rnacentral:misc_RNA from 1 species